rnacentral:rRNA from 1 species
UCUCUGAGAUUAAUAGCUGCCGAAGAGUGAAAGCGCGCCGGGGCUGAAAAAGGAUCUUCCAAUUGUGAAUUCGUGGCCAGAGUCCCCUUUGUUUUCUUCUAUGGGGCUGUGUCUGAAGAGUUGUGUAAUUUCUAAGGGAGAAAGGUGGGCUUACCCUGCCACCUGGAACCAUAGUAUCAAGUUUCUUCCUGGGAAAGGGAGACCAAUCCACCAGGAGGGGUUGAGAAUCCCCGUCUUUGACCAUGGACUGCCCAGGUGGUGUUUGUUGGGUGUGCUUCUUCAAAAGAGUACGAGUUGUUUGGGGAAUGCAGGCUCUUAAAAUGGGGUGGUAAACUCCAUCUAAAGCUAAAAUAUUGGGCGAGAGACCGAUAGUGAACAAGUACCGUGAGGGAAAGAUGAAAAGGACUUUGGAAAGAGAGUUAAACAGUAUGUGAAAUUGUUGAAAGGGAAACGCUUGAAGUCAGUUAUGUUGGCUAGGGAUCAGCCCAGCUGUUUUUUUUUGCUGGGUGAAUUUCCUAGUAUGACAGGCCAACAUCAGUUCUGGCUGCUGGAAAAGAGCAGAGGGAAUGUGGCACCUUUGGGUGUGUUAUAGCCUUUUGUCAUAUGUGGCAGUUGGGACUGAGGGAUGCAGCGUGCCGCAAGGCCAGGUUUUUUUGACCAUGUUCACGCUUAGGAUGUUGGCUUUUAAUGGCUUCAAUCGACCCGUCUUGAAACACGGACCAAGGAGUCUAACAUGCCUGCGAGUGUUUGGGUGGAGAAAACCCUUGUGCACAAUGAAAGUGAAAGUUGAGAUCCCUGUCAUGGGGAGCAUCGAUGCCCGGACCUGAGCUUUUAGCAAUGGAUCUGCGGUGGAGCAUGCAUGUUGGGACCCGAAAGAUGGUGAACUAUGCCGGAAUAGGGCAAAGCCAGAGGAAACUCUGGUGGUGUUUUUAAACGAUUUCUGACGUGCAAAUCGAUCGUGCGAAUUUGUGUAUAUGGGGCGAAAGACUUAAUUUUACCCCUUAAUUGG